rnacentral:rRNA from 1 species
CCUACGGGAGGCAGCAGUGGGGAAUAUUGCGCAAUGUGCGAAAGCCUUACGCCGCGACGCCGCGUGAGGGAUGAAGGUCUUCGGAUCGUAACCCUCUGUCAGCAGGGAAGAACGGUCACUGUGCUAAUCAGCAGUGAAUUGACGGUAACUGCCAAGGAAGCACCGGCUAACGCCGUGCCAGCAGCCGCGGUAAUACGGCGGGUGCUGGCGUUAAUCGGAAUUACUGGGCGUAAAGCGCUCGUAGGCGGUAUGUCAAGUCAAGGGUGAAAUCCCCGCGCUCAACGUGGGAACUGCCUUUGAAACUGGCAAACUGGAGUGUGUGAGAGGAUAGUGGAAUUCCAGGUGUAGGAGUGAAAUCCGUAGAUAUCUGGAGGAACAUCAGUGGCGAAGGCGACUAUCUGGCACAUAACUGACGCUGAGGAGCGAAAGCGUGGGUAGCAAACAGGAUUAGAUACCCCUGUAGUC